UGCAAUAUAUUUUAUUUAAAAUACUUACUUUACACGUAAGAGUUCCCUAUUAAGGGUUUUGCUA
rnacentral:tRNA from 3 species